AGAUUAAGUUACAAAGGGCGCACGGUGGAUGCCUUGGCACUAGGAGCCGACGAAGGACGGAACGAACACCGAUAUGCUCUGGGGAGCUGUAAGCAAGCGUAGAUCCAGAGAUUUCCGAAUGGGGGAACCCACUGCCAGUAAUGGGGCAGUAUCCUGUACUGAAUACAUAGGUGCAGGAAGGCAGACCCGGGGAACUGAAACAUCUUAGUACCCGGAGGAAGAGAAAGAAAAAUCGAUUCCCUGAGUAGCGGCGAGCGAAACGGGAAGAGCCCAAACCAGAAGGCUUGCCUUCUGGGGUUGUAGGACACUCUAUACGGAGUUACAAAGGAAUGUGGUAGAUGAAGCGGUCUGGAAAGGCCCGCCAAAGAAGGUAACAGCCCUGUAAUUGACACUUCAUUCCCUCCAGAGUGGAUCCUGAGUACGGCGGGACACGAGGAAUCCCGUCGGAAUCCGGGAGGACCAUCUCCCAAGGCUAAAUACUCCCUAGUGACCGAUAGUGAACCAGUACCGUGAGGGAAAGGUGAAAAGCACCCCGGGAGGGGAGUGAAAUAGAUCCUGAAACCGUGUGCCUACAAGUAGUCAGAGCACAAUAAGUGUGAUGGCGUGCCUUUUGUAGAAUGAACCGGCGAGUUGCGAUUUCAUGCAAGGUUAAGCUGAAGAAGCGGAGCCGCAGCGAAAGCGAGUCUGAAUAGGGCGAAAGAGUAUGAGGUCGCAGACCCGAAACCAGGUGAUCUACCCAUGUCCAGGGUGAAGGUCAGGUAACACUGACUGGAGGCCCGAACCCACGUAUGUUGAAAAAUGCGGGGAUGAGGUGUGGGUAGGGGUGAAAUUCCAAUCGAACCUGGAGAUAGCUGGUUCUCUCCGAAAUAGCUUUAGGGCUAGCCUCAAGGCAAGAGUACCGGAGGUAGAGCACUGUUUGGACUAGGGGCCCUCAUCGGGUUACCGAAUUCAGACAAACUCCGAAUGCCGGAUACUCAUCCUUGGGAGUCAGACUGCGAGUGAUAAGAUCCGUAGUCGAGAGGGAAACAACCCAGACCACCAGCUAAGGUCCCCAAGUAUACGUUAAGUGGAAAAGGAUGUGGAGUUGCUUAGACAACCAGGAUGUUGGCUUAGAAGCAGCCACCAUUCAAAGAGUGCGUAAUAGCUCACUGGUCGAGUGACUCUGCGCCGAAAAUGUACCGGGGCUAAACGUAUCACCGAAGCUGUGGAUUGUCUUAGACAAUGGUAGGAGAGCGUUCCAAGUGCAGAGAAGUCAUUUUGUAAGAAAUGGUGGAGCGCUUGGAAGUGAGAAUGCCGGUAUGAGUAGCGAAAGAAGGGUGAGAAUCCCUUCCACCGAAUGCCUAAGGUUUCCUGAGGAAGGCUCGUCCGCUCAGGGUUAGUCGGGACCUAAGCCGAGGCCGAAAGGCGUAGGCGAUGGACAACAGGUUGAUAUUCCUGUACCGCCUCGUUUCCGUUUGAGUGAAGGGGGGACGCAGGAGGAUAGGGUAAGCGCACGACUGGAUUGUGCGUCCAAGCAGUAAGGCUGGCAAGUAGGCAAAUCCGCUUGCCGUAAGGCUGAGCUGUGAUGGCGAGGGAAAUAAAGUACCGAAGUUCCUGAUUCCACACUGCCAAGAAAAGCCUCUAGCGAGGAAACAGGCGCCCGUACCGCAAACCGACACAGGUAGGCGAGGAGAGAAUCCUAAGGUGAUCGAGAGAACUCUCGUUAAGGAACUCGGCAAAAUGACCCCGUAACUUCGGGAGAAGGGGUGCUCCUGCGGGUGCAAGCCUGCGGGAGCCGCAGUGAAUAGGCCCAGGCGACUGUUUAGCAAAAACACAGGUCUCUGCGAAGCCGCAAGGCGAAGUAUAGGGGCUGACGCCUGCCCGGUGCUGGAAGGUUAAGAGGAGCGCUUAGACUUAGUCGAAGGUGCGAAUUGAAGCCCCAGUAAACGGCGGCCGUAACUAUAACGGUCCUAAGGUAGCGAAAUUCCUUGUCGGGUAAGUUCCGACCCGCACGAAAGGCGCAACGAUCUGGGCACUGUCUCAACGAGAGACUCGGUGAAAUUAUAGUAUGCGUGAAGAUGCGCAUUACCCGCGACAGGACGGAAAGACCCCGUGGAGCUUUACUGCACCCUGAUAUUGACUGUCUGUGCAGCUUGUACAGGAUAGGUAGGAGCCUUGGAAGCCGGAGCGCUAGCUUCGGUGGAGGCACUGGUGGGAUACUACCCUGGCUGUAUGGACCGUCUAACCCGCGACCCUGAUCGGGUUGGGAGACAGUGUCAGGCAGGCAGUUUGACUGGGGCGGUCGCCUCCUAAAAGGUAACGGAGGCGCCCAAAGGUUCCCUCAGAAUGGUUGGAAAUCAUU
rnacentral:rRNA from 1 species